UGUAGGUGAAAAGUUGUGAACGUAGGAUAUACAAAUUUGUUUAAUUUAUAUCUAUAUUAACCCACAUCUGUAAACCAUUGCCAAUGAAAAACGAUUCGGAGCGAAGUUCGUUUACACACAUGUUUAAAGGUUAUUAUAAUAUUCGUCAAAAUUUGUUAUUAAAACUCUUAUGAAAAAAAAAUACUACCUAACACACAAUUUUUUUUUCCCCCACUAAGUACGACUUAAAGUGAACCUCCUGUUAAUUUUUUAAUCAAAUGUUUAUAAAUAUAGCCCAUAAAUAGCUUAAAUAUUUUAAAAAUUUUACUACUAGAAUAAUAAAUGUAAGUUAUCUGUCGAAAUAUCAAGUUCCUGUAAAUAUGUUUAACUAAAUCGCAACAAAAACACAAAAUUUAAAAUAAUAAAAGCAUUAUUUUCGUAAAUUUUCGUCUGUUGUCGUUUUUCUAUUUGAGCAAUAUUUCUGGGAGAAAACAUUUUGCAUGUCAAUUUAAAGUAAUAAAAUCGUACGCCACGCAGUAAAUUUGUUCGUUUUUCAAUUUUCGUCAUUAUCCGAUUUUCUAAAUUAUUAUAACUACUUGUUGAAAAUCAAAAAAAGACUCGCCUCUUAAUCAUCUAGAUCCGAAAAUUUAACACAAAAGGUGUCUUGUCAUUUUUCUAUUGGAGCAAAAUUUCUGGUGGAAAUUAUAGUUUGCAAAAAUUAAAAACUAUGAAAUCGGUAACGCCACAGCAUAAAUAUUUGACGUUUUACUUAUAACUCAUAAUAUAAUAAUAUCAUAAUUUUAUGUUACAGAAAUUUUCUUCUAUAAAUAAACAAAAUAGAGAAUAAUGUAUAAUGAAACAUUUUCAUUAAAUAGUGCAAUCCAAGUAUCUGUAUGUUAUAGGGUUAAUAACUUUACAAGUGUUGAUUUUCAUCUUAUCAACUAUAGUACCUUAUUUGUUCUUUAUUAGAUUUUGAUGAUUUACCUGCACGUCAAUUUACAAAAAAUCAUACGAAUUGCAUUAUUCGACUAAAAUCACUGUUCGCGAAAUGAAAAUAUUUUAUUUUUCGUGAAAUAAG